rnacentral:rRNA from 1 species
UACGAAGGGGGCUAGCGUUGCUCGGAAUCACUGGGCGUAAAGCGCACGUAGGCGGAUUGCUAAGUCAGGGGUGAAAUCCUGGAGCUCAACUCCAGAACUGCCUUUGAUACUGGUGAUCUUGAGUCCGGGAGAGGUGAGUGGAACUGCGAGUGUAGAGGUGAAAUUCGUAGAUAUUCGCAAGAACACCAGUGGCGAAGGCGGCUCACUGGCC